CGGACCGGCGCACGGUGAGUAACGCGUAUGCAACUUACCUAUCAGGAGGGGAUAACCCGGCGAAAGUCGGACUAAUACCGCAUAAAGCAGGGAUCCCGCAUGGGAAUAUUUGCUAAAGAUUCAUCGCUGAUAGAUAGGCAUGCGUUCCAUUAGGCAGUUGGCGGGGUAACGGCCCACCAAACCGACGAUGGAUAGGGGUUCUGAGAGGAAGGUCCCCCACAUUGGACUGAGACACGGUCCAA
rnacentral:rRNA from 1 species